ACGUACAGUAAUGUCAUGAACUGGUGAGUAAUUCCUUGAUUAAGAAAUACCACCUAGGGAUAGGGGUAGGACGAUCAAUUGUUUUUCACUUCUUCUCUUUAAUGCUUUAUUAAUUGUAAGGGAAGGCUAGGGAUAGCAAGCCAGUAAUUAGUAAUAGGCUCUUUUCACCGAGGGAUCGGGUUAAGGGUAGGCUAAGAAAGUUGCAUGACAAUUAAUUAAUCAAGCUAAUAAUUCAAGAGGAGUAAAUAAGAGAAAGCGGAUAAGAUGAAAAUUGUAAACCCCCAACAACUCCAUUCAUCCAUUGUUUUCUUCUCAUCA
rnacentral:lncRNA from 1 species